rnacentral:tRNA from 1 species
AAUAGGGUGGCUGAAUUAUAGGCUAUAAAUUGUAAAUUUAUAUAUGGUUAAAUUAAUCUCCUAUUA